GUCCACGCCCUAAACGAUGUCGACUGGUUGUUGGGGGUUUGACACUCUCAGUAACGAAGCUAACGCGUGAAGUCGACCGCCUGGGGAGUACGGCCGCAAGGUUAAACUCAAAGGAAUUGACGGGGACCCGCACAAGCGGUGGAUUAUGUGGAUUAAUUCGAUGCAACGCGAAAAACCUUACCUACCCUUGACAUGUCCGAGAGCCCCGCCGAGAGGCGGGUGUGCCCGAAAGGGAAUCGGAACACAGGUGCUGCAUGGCUGUCGU
rnacentral:rRNA from 1 species